AAGUAGGGUCCAAGCGGGAAGGGGAAAGAAGGGGCGUAAAGCGUGCGCAGGCGGUUGUGCAAGACCGAUGUGAAAUCCCCGGGCUUAACCUGGGAAUUGCAUUGGUGACUGCACGGCUAGAGUGUGUCAGAGGGGGGUAGAAUUCCACGUGUAGCAGUGAAAUGCGUAGAGAUGUGGAGGAAUACCGAUGGCGAAGGCAGCCCCCUGGGAUAACACUGACGCUCAUGCACGAAAGCGUGGGGAGCAAACAG
rnacentral:rRNA from 1 species